ACCUGGAUAGCUCGGUGGUUUUGGGUGUCGAGCUAGCAACCCGGAGCUCGCAGGUUCGAAUCUCCGCCUCGGAAG